rnacentral:rRNA from 1 species
AUUGAACGCUGGCGGCAUGCCUUACACAUGCAAGUCGAACGGCAGCACGGGUGCUUGCACCUGGUGGCGAGUGGCGAACGGGUGAGUAAUACAUCGGAACGUACCUUAUCGUGAGGGAUAACGCAGCGAAAGUUGCGCUAAUACCGCAUACGCCCUGAGGGGGAAAGCGGGGGACCGUAAGGCCUCGCGCGAUUAGAGCGGCCGAUGUCUGAUUAGCUUGUUGGGGAGGUAAAAGCUCACCAAGGCGAUGAUCAGUAGCUGGUCUGAGAGGACGAUCAGCCACACUGGGACUGAGACACGGCCCAGACUCCUACGGGAGGCAGCAGUGGGGAAUUUUGGACAAUGGGGGCAACCCUGAUCCAGCAAUGCCGCGUGAGUGAAGAAGGCCUUCGGGUUGUAAAGCUCUUUUGUCAGGGAAGAAACAGCAGCUCUAACACAGUCUGCGAAUGACGGUACCUGAAGAAUAAGCACCGGCUAACUACGUGCCAGCCGCCGCAGUAA